AUAUUAGUAUAGAUAGAAGAUAAUUGUAGUAAAGUUAUUUAAAAUUAUAAAUAUUAUUUUAAAAAUCUUCCAUCAGUUGAUUCACUAGUCCUUCCUUCUGCUGAUUAUCUUCAAUUUAUCCUGCAUAUAUAUUGUUUGUAUAUAGUUGUUUGUUGAUUGUCUCUUCCAUUAAAUUAUAAGCUCUGUAAGAGCAAUGUCUUUUUUCCUUUUUUAUUUCCUUCCUCCCUCCCUCCCUUAUUUUCUUUCUCUUUCUUCCUUCCUUCCUUCCUUCCUUCCUUCCUUCCUUCCUUCCUUCCUUCCUACAUUUCUUUCUUUCUUCCUUUCUUUCUUUCUUUCUUUCUUUCUUUCUUUCUUUCUUUUCUUCCUUUUCCUUCCUUUCUUUUACUUCCUUCCUCCUUCCUUCGUUUCUUUCUUUCUCUUUUUUCCUUAUUCUUUCUUUUUCUUUUCUCUUUCACUCCCUUCCUUCCUUUCCUUUCCUUCCUUUCCUUUCCUUAUUCCUUCCUUUCUUUCUCUUUCUUUUCCCCUUCCUUCCUUCCUUUGAUUUCCUCCCUUUCUUCCUUCUUUCCUUUCUUCCUCUUCCUUCCUUUCUUCCUUCCUUUCUUUCUUUCCUUCUUUCUUACUUCCUUUCUUUGACUUCCUUCGUCCUGCCUUCCUUCUUUUCUUUCUUUGUUUCUCUUUGUUUCCUUCUUUAUUUCUUUUUCUUUCUUUCACUUCCUGCCGUUCUUUCUCUUCCUUCCUCCUUGUCUUUCAUUUCUCGUUCUUUCAGUUUUCUUUCUUGCUUUUUUCUUUCUUUCGUUCGCUCCCUUCCGUUCCUUUCCCUUCCUUCCUUCCUUUCUUUCUUUG
rnacentral:lncRNA from 1 species